rnacentral:rRNA from 1 species
AUUGAACGCUGGCGGCAGGCCUAACACAUGCAAGUCGAACGGUAACAGGAAACAGCUUGCUGUUUCGCUGACGAGUGGCGGACGGGUGAGUAAUGUCUGGGAAACUGCCUGAUGGAGGGGGAUAACUACUGGAAACGGUAGCUAAUACCGCAUAAUGUCGCAAGACCAAAGAGGGGGACCUUCGGGCCUCUUGCCAUCGGAUGUGCCCAGAUGGGAUUAGCUAGUAGGUGGGGUAACGGCUCACCUAGGCGACGAUCCCUAGCUGGUCUGAGAGGAUGACCAGCCACACUGGAACUGAGACACGGUCCAGACUCCUACGGGAGGCAGCAGUGGGGAAUAUUGCACAAUGGGCGCAAGCCUGAUGCAGCCAUGCCGCGUGUAUGAAGAAGGCCUUCGGGUUGUAAAGUACUUUCAGCGGGGAGGAAGGGAGUAAAGUUAAUACCUUUGCUCAUUGACGUUACCCGCAGAAGAAGCACAGGAUAAAUAAGGGAAAGAAGAAGA